CCUGAGUUCGAGGCUAGCCUGG
rnacentral:piRNA from 1 species